rnacentral:rRNA from 1 species
CCUACGGGAGGCAGCAGUGGGGAAUAUUGCGCAAUGGGCGAAAGCCUGACGCAGCGACGCCGCGUGAGGGAUGAAGGUCUUCGGAUCGUAAAACUCUGUCAGCAGGGAAGAACGGUCACGGUGCUAAUCAGCAGUGCAUUGACGGUACCUGCAAAGGAAGCACCGGCUAACUCCGUGCCAGCAGCCGCGGUAAUACGGAGGGUGCGAGCGUUAAUCGGAAUUACUGGGCGUAAAGCGCUCGUAGGCGGUAUGUCAAGUCAAGGGUGAAAUCCCCGGGCUCAACGUGGGAAGUGCCUUUGAAACUGGGAAACUUGAGUGUGUGAGAGGAUAGUGGAAGUCCAGGUGGAGGGGUGAAAGGCGUAGAUAUAUGGAGGAACAGCAGUGGCGAAGGCGACUAUCUGGCACAUAACUGACGCUGAGGAGCGAAAGCGUGGGUAGCAAACAGGAUUAGAUACCCCAGUAGUC